rnacentral:rRNA from 1 species
UACGUAGGGUGCAAGCGUUAAUCGGAAUUACUGGGCGUAAAGCGUGCGCAGGCGGUGAUGUAAGACAGAUGUGAAAUCCCCGGGCUCAACCUGGGAACUGCCUUUGUGACUGCAAGGCUUGAGUGCGGCAGAGGGGGAUGGAAUUCCGCGUGUAGCAGUGAAAUGCGUAGAUAUGCGGAGGAACACCGAUGGCGAAGGCAAUCCCCUGGGCCUGCACUGACGCUCAUGCACGAAAGCGUGGGGAGCAAACAGG